UUCCGCGCCUCCAGACCCACAGCUGGGGGUUCCUCUUCGCGCCACCAGACCCACAGCCUAGGCGGCCACGCCACCCGGACCCCUCACCGCUGCCUCUAGUCCACGGGACAAGGCGACGCCAGACCCGGGGUCUAAUUCUACCCACGGAGAAAGAUACCACGGAAGAAAGCAGGAGGCUGAGGAAGAUCUUUUUUUUUUUCUCAAGUCGAAGAGGGCAGGGAGAAGGAAGAGGCGCGGGUUCAGAGUUCUGCUCCCUGUGCCCACGGAGAGUUGGCCUGGAGUUAGCCGGCCAGGAGUAAAACCCCUGGAAAGCUGGAACCUGUGUAAGGAAGAAACCUGUCAGAGAAGGAAAACUCAAAUAUUUCCCACUAAUAGAGAACAAUACAAAAGUGGUCUGAACCCUAUCCUCAGGAAGAGCUUCUCCAUGGGAACUUCAAGUGUUGUCACCAGCCCAGGAUUACGGUCAUUCGCCCUAGAAGCCAGAGCAGGAUCUGGCAUGAGUUAGAGUGAACAAAGGAACAAACAAGAAUCUGCAGGAGCUGCGUGUGUUCUCAAGUCUCCUAGGCGGCCUGAAGCUCCUGGAAGAUAGGAAGGAAAGGAUGCAAUCUAUUUGAAAGCUGCUAUGAGUCACAGCCCUUGCUAUGACUGGUCUUACCACAGCCAAUUUACACAGAUCACCAGGAAAUAAAAGUCACCAUUUCCCAGGCUUCGGGUUUCCUGGUCAGUAAAACAGGCUAGAAAACAUAGAUAGGCACUAUAUGAUUUUUUAAUUGCCCUGAUUCUGGCCUGAGUCACCAGGGUAAGGGAGAGGCUUGAAAUAUUUAGAAACUCUUAUGAGCAUACCAGGUCAAGGUAUUUGUAUAUCUCAAAUUCUUUCUUUACUGUCUCCCCUUUAAUCUGUGGAACAAACUCCUCUCAAGAUUGUUCCCUAGUGAGAAACCAUUAGUCCACAUGUGGCUACACUUCUAAAUACUCUUGACUUUGGCGCACAUAGUUUUCCCUUAUUAUAAUGCCAGCCUGUGGUGGGUACCCCACUGCCAGGGUAAGUUGGGUGGGAAUUGGGUAGAUUCAGCAGUGACAGGGCCUUAGCCAAGCUUGGCCAGAUUUCCACUAGUUCUUAACUUCUUGCGUUCUUGUGAACUCAAGAAUGCAGACAUUCUUCCUCUUCUUGUUUUGCCUCUCUCUGGUAACAUUCUCAUGGACAAUUAGUUUUAACAUAACUUAAUUAACAUUAUUUCUACUUUGAAGUAAAAUUGAUAGCCUUCCCUUCUUUUAUGUAAUAAUAGUGGCUCUCCCACUUACAUUCAUAUUAUUCAAUCAAUGUUAAUAUUUUAGGUUUCAUUUAUAUGAGGUGUGGCUGUUAAAUAAAAACUAUAAGUCAUGUAAAGCAGCCACUCACUAGGCCCGCCAAACAUAUUUAUAAUUCCCUCAAAACUUCCUUCUCAAAAGUUUUUCCAUCAAUUCUUUUUCUAUUAAAAAGUCUCAAUGUACGAUUUUAAAAAUAUGCAUGUGUACCUGAAUACACUUCACAUAAAAUUAAAAAUGAGUAGAUACCCUAUUUUAAUUAUAAAAUUGGACUAAUCUCUACAGCUUGUUUUGACACUGAUGUUUCUUUCAUACCAUAAUUUCGUUUGCUUGGUUACAAAAUAAAAACAAAAACAACUAAAAUAAAUAGCUGAUACCUGAUAAAUGUAAAAGUACUAAUGACUAACCCAUAUUAACAGGAAGUUAAAUGAACUGCAUCAUGCUUUCACGUUCUUCUUCAUUGCCUGCUCUAUGGUCCGUGGGUAAAGGGCAGCUACUUAAAUGGACUAAACCAGAAUAAAAUUCAAGAGGCAAUACAUUGUCAUACAUUUUUAAAGGGAAAUGCUGAUAUUAAAAAUUGAGCAACUAUUCAAAGACAUAUUGAUCAAUAGAAUGAAAGAGAGAGUCUAGAAAGAGACCCACAAAUCUGUGAACAGUUGAUCCUGGCAGAGCACUGAUGUAUUACAAAUCAGUGGAAAAAAUGAAUUCUUCAUUGAUAUUGGGACAGUUAUUUAUAUAAAAUAAAAUUAGAUAUCUACUUCGCACCAUAUAAACAAAUCUGUUCCAGGUAGAUUAAUGAGCAAACUAUUGAAAAACAAACCUUCAAAACAAAGCAAACAGUUGAAAAACAUAAACCGUGAAAAAAUAAGGAUCAAUAAUUCUAUUUAAAAUUUCCGCACCAAAAGGUAUCACAAAAAAGUGAAAUAAAAGCCACAUCCCAGCAAAAGAUAUUUUCCACUCAUAUAGCUGACAAAAUAUUUAGUAACAAAAAAAAAGAACUUCUGUAAAUCAAUAAGAAAAAAGAUAUGCAAACCAAUAGGAAAAUGGUUUAAAUGUGUGAAAAGGUAGUUCACAUUGGAGGAAACAUCAACAGCUAACAAAUGAAGACAUGCUGAAAAUCAGUAGAAAUCUCAGAAAUGCAAAGUAAAACAAUGGGGUUCCUUAUUAAAAAUAUCAGUUGACAAAAACAUAACCCAAAAAACCUGGCAAUACCAAGAUGUGGUGGAGAUAUAAAGCCAGCCAGAGCAAUGCCUACACACUGUUGUAGAGAGAAUAAACUGGCACCACUUCUCUGGAAAGUAAUUGCAGGAUUUUGUAACUAUGAAGAUGUUCAAACCCUUAGACUCAACAAUUCCACUCAUAGAAAAAUAACUCUAGCUAACCUCUUCCAUAUGUGGAUUCUAUUUGCUGCAAUACAGUUUAUACAGAAAAGUUGGCGGCAGCCAAAAUGCCCAUCAAAAAGUGAACAGACAUAUUACGUUACGGUCACAAAACAGUAACAUAAAAAACAUAGAGCUAUACAAAUCAUAAAUUAGAGCUACACACAUCAACAUGCAUAAGUUAUAAAACAUAACAUUGACUGAAAAAAGCCAAUUGCAGAAGGAUGUGUACUGCAUGUUGACAUUUGUAUUUAUUAAAACACAUGAAAAGUAAUACUGUAUAUUGUUUCCGGAUUUAUACAUAUGUAGGAAAAUUAUAAAUAGUUAUACAUAUAAUUCUAUACUUUCAUGGUACUAUGGGAUUUUUAAGAAUUUCAGGCCAUCUCCAGCAUUAUGUGAUGAACCUCUGUUAUGGAUUGAAUUGUGUCCCUCCAAAACAUGUGUUGUAAAUCCUAACCUCUAUGCCAGUGAUUUUAAUUCCAUCUGGGAAUGGGUUUUCUCUGUUAUGUUAAUGAUUUUAAUUCCAUUUGGGAAUGGGUUUUCUCUGUUAUGUUAAUGAGAUAGGAUUAGUGUAGGGUGUGUUUUAAGUCAAUCUCUUUUGAGAUAAUAAAGUAGCAGAAAUGAGGUAAGAAAGAUGCCAAGACACAUGGAGACCUCCAAGGAACCAGGAAGCAGAAGCAGAAGCUGAAGAGACAAGGACCUUCCUCCAGAGCUGACAGAGAGACAAAGCCUUCCCGUAGAGCCAGUGCCCUGAUUUCGGACUUCUAGCCUCCCAAACUAUAAGAAAACAAAUUUCUGUUUGUAAAAGACACCCACUUGUGGUAUUUCUGUUACAGAAGGACUAGAUAACUGAGGAAAAGCAAGGAUGUCACCUUGAUGACUAAGGUGUGCCUGACCCAAGCCAUGGUGUUUUCAAUCACCUCAUAUGCACGCAAAAGCUGGACAUGAAUAAGGAAGGCUGGAGAAGACUUGACACCUUUGAAUUGUGGUGUUGGAGAAGAAUGUUGAAUACACCAUGAACUGCCAAAAGAACAAACAAAUCUGUUUGGAAGAGGUACGACCAGAAUGCUCCUUAGAAGCAAGGUUGGUGAGACUACAUCUCACCUGCUUUAGACACGUUAUCAUGAGGGAUCAGUCCCUGGAGAAGGACAUCAUGUUUGGUAGAGGGUCAGCAAAAAAGAGGAAGACCGUCGAUAAGAUGGAUUGACACAGUGGCUGCAACAAUGGAUUCAAGCAUAGCAACAAUUGUGAAGAUGGCACAGGACCAGGAAGUGUUUUGUUCUGUUGUGCAUGGUGUUGCUACGAGUCAGAACCAACUCAACGGCACCUAACAACAACAAUAGAUAUCUAAGAUAGUUUCGAUGCAAAACCAUUAGUGACUUUUUUUAUCCCAAUUUACAUAAGCUCUCAGAUUUUGAAGAAAUCUAUAAAGCAUCGAAUUCAAGGAAAUUUCCGUCAGUUGUUGAAUAGAUUAUACACUAUGUGCUGAUUCAUUGCUACACAUUGCACUUUUACUUAAUGUCGUUCAAUUAUCUUAUUUCUUUUAAACUCAUCCUUGGAGUAGCAUAGUGAAUUAUCUGGUAUUAGAGAAAUCCAGUAUUGGCUAUUGUGCAAGAAAGAUUAACUACCUCAGGGUUCCACACUAGAUCACAGUUUGGCUCUUUAUCUCAAGGUGAAUAUGGAACUUGAAAAAACAAAUACUAUGUGGUUCUUUCUACUCUUGUUUCACCCAUAUGUAUCAACAGAUAUGAUAAAUUCUUAAAAAAAAAAAAAAAAGUUACCAAACUUAAUGGUCUGACUGAGACUGGAGGAAUCCCGGCGGCCAUGCUCUCCAGACCUUCUGUUGACACAGGACAGGAAGCAUCCCUGAAGACAACUCAUCAUAAAUGAAAGGGACUGGUCAGCGGGUGGGAGAGAGACGCUGAUGAAGAGUGAGCUAAUUAUAUCAGGUGGACACUUGAGAUUGUGUUGGCAACUCUUGUCUGGAGGGGGGAUGGGAGGAUAGAGAGAGAGGGAAGCCGGCAAAAUUGUCAAGAAAGGAGAGACUGAAAGGGCUGACUCAAGACGGGGAGAGUAAGUGGGAGUAGGGAGUGAGAUGUAUGUAAACUUAUAUGUGACAGACUGAUUGGAUUUGUAAACGUUCACUUGAAGCUUAAUAAAAGUUAUUAAAAAAAAAAAAGUUGAUUCUGACUCAUGCUGACCCCAUGUGUGUCUGAGUAGAACUGUACUCCAUCAUUUUUUUUCCUGUUUUUUUUUUUACUCCGUAGGGUUUUUAAGGAUGUGAGAAUUUGGAAGGAGAUCACCAGGCCUUUCUUCUGAGGUGCCUCUCUGGGGAUUCUAACUGCCAACCUUUCAGUUAGUCAAGUGCUUAACCAUUUGUGUUGACCAAGGACUCCAUUAUAGAUUCUUAGGUAUAGUUUACACAAUCAGAGCCGAAGAACAGAAAGUAGUUUCAGAGAGAUUAUCUAAAAUAUCUCCUUCAUGAAAGAUACAGGUUGUACAAAUAAAAAAUUAAAAAGUGACAACAGUUAUUUACCAGUUGGACUGAAGCAUUUGGGGAUUUUGAAGAUGGACGGGUUGGGGGCACAAGUCAAGGAAUAUAGAUGGCCUCCAGAAGAUGGAAAAGGCAAGGAAGUAGAUUCUCUCAUAGAGCACCCAGAAGGAACACAGCCUUGCUGAUACCUUGAUUUUAGCUCAGUGAGACCUAUGUCAGAUUUUGACCUCCAAAACUAUAAGAUAAUAAAUUAAGUGUUGUUUGAGUCCAGAGUUUGGGGUAAUUUGUUACAGCGGCAAAAGGAAACUAAAGCAGAUGUUACCGGGAACUGGGGUGCUGCUGUAACGAAUACCUAAAAAUGUAGCUUUGGAGUUGGGCAACCAGCAGAGGCUAGAAGAAUUUUGAGGAGCAUGAUAGAAAAGCCUAGAUUGCUUUGUACAGAAUGUUCAUAAACAUAGCAAUGACCCUGCUAGUGAAGACUCAGAAUAAAGUGAGGAACAUGGUAGAGAAAAUACGUAUCAUCUUAGAAAGUACUUAAAUCUUUACUAACAAACUGAUGGUAAAAAAAAAAAAAAAAUGGAUGUUAGUGGUACUGCAGGUGAAGGCUCGGAUGAAAAUGAAGAACACUUCACUGGAAACUUGAGGAAAAGAGAUCCUUGUGACAUAGCGGCAGAACACUUAGAUGCAUUGUGUCUUGCAGUACCUGUAAAGUUAUUAUUUUAAAC